rnacentral:rRNA from 1 species
CAGCCCUAAACGAUGCGCGUUAGGUGUAUCGGUGACCACGAGUCACCGAGGUGCCGAAGGGAAACCGUGGAACGUGCCGCCUGGGAAGUACGGUCGCAAGGCUGAAACUUAAAGGAAUUGGCGGGGGGAGCACCACAACGGGUGGAGCUUGCGGUUUAAUUGGAUUCAACGCCGGAAAUCUUACCGGGACCGACAGCAACAUGAAGGCCAGGCUGAAGACUUUGCCGGAUUAGCUGAGAGGAGGUGCAUGGCGUAGUCGUGU